GAAGUAGCUAAUUGUCAUCUGUUAAUAGAUGAUUGUGUACAUUUCAUUUCUGUAUUAAAAACUAAACUCACUGAUCUAUCUGAACUUUACAGGUUUAUCUGCGCUAUGUUGUGCUCCACUUCAUUAAACAAAAUGAGGUUGCGGUGGCACCAUCGUUGUGGUUAGAGUGGAACAAUGAGGUAUUGUUUUGCUACUGGCCUAAUACAAAUGCUGGGGCUAUGGUCAAGAAAUGUGUCAUUCCAGACAAACAGCUCUGGGCAAAACAUGAAGUCAGAGUCUUUUCUGAUACAGACAGCUACAAACUGGCAAGACACCGGGCCCAAAAAGCAACGUUGAGGACAUACGAAAGAUCGUACCACCAAGACGAUUCAGAGAAGAAGAAUUCCAGCCCAAGAAACCCAGAAGAGCACAGCAUCAUUUUAGUGGGACUAAUGUGACUAUGUGUCAUUUCAUGCUGACUUAACACAAGCUGAGUUCAAAGUAACACAAAAUGUGUUGUCCUUAACUAGACACAGAGAUGUGACAUUUUUUUAGAGUGACAAUAUAAAACAAAUGAAACUGUUCGAUGAAAGCCAAAAUGCAUGUUGCCUUUUAAAGAAAAUAUGCAUGCAUUUAAUGUUAAUUUAUUUAUUUUACAGUUCAAGAGGACAGUGAACCAUCUCAAGCUGAGGAGACUGAUGAAGAUGAGGAGCAACCACAACAAAAAAAAUCUAAAAGAACUACUGUGAUGUUGCCCGAGGCACCUUACUUUCCAUCGCUUUCAACAACACAAGUGCAGCCACAUCAGUCAGUUUCUGCAAACCAGCAGAAUCAAGGAAGCAUGAUCAAUCCACAGUCUCUUCGAAAUGUUCCAUCGCAGCCACAUCAGUCAGUUUCUGCAAACCAGCAGAAUCAAGGAAGUGUAAUUAAUCCACAGUCUUUUCAAGAUGAAAUCUACAAGUUAUUUGAGAAUUUGGAGGAGGAUAUUGCUGAAACUCGACCAAAUACAAGAAAAUGUCACAGCAGCAAUCGGAACAACCCGGCAGCAAUUUAUGAGUCAACUAAACACCUCUGUCUCUGAUAUAACAGAGGUGCUAGAAGAACCUUGUAAGACUGUGGAGGAAUUAGAAGAGCUGUGUGACAAACUGAAAGACGCAGACUUUCGAAAGAAAAUUGUUCAUUUUCUGUGUCUUCAGGGUGGCGGCAGCUUGGGAGAUGGAAUAAGGAGGAUGCUGAAAAAAAUUGGAGCCAACUCUCUAUGGGGACGAUACAGCUACAAGGGCCGAAAGGGAAAACUUAAAUUCCAGCAGCUCAUCAUCAAUGACGCUAUUAUACGUAAGUUUCAACACUUGCCACUAUAUCCUAACUAAUAAUGUGUCUGUGUCAGUUUUCAACAAUUAUUUGUAAACAGAUUUUAAGUUGGUUUUCAGCACAUAAAUAUUCAGUUAAUGGGCUAUCUUGAAAACAGCAUUAUAUUUAAAAGGUUUUUACUGAUGGCUCAGAUGUUUAUGGUUUAAUAACCCAUGUGAUCUCUCAAAGUCUAUAAAGAUUUUUUUAAAGCAUGAUUUGUAUAUUUUUCUUCUCACCCCACAUAGAAAACACUGUGUAUAGACUGAUAUUUUUCUGAUAUCUGGGGUCUCAUUUAUAAAACUUUGGUAUUUAUAAAGGGAAUUAUGCACAGUGAAAGUGAAAAUGAUGUGACGUGAGGCCAAGUAUGGUGUUCCAUACACAGAAUUUGUUCUCUGCAUUAAACCCAUCCAAAGUGACCACACACACACCGUGAACAAACACCUGGAGUGGGCAGCAGGUGACCGGGGAGCAGUUGGGGGAUCGGUGCUUUGCUCAAGGGUCUCACCUCAGCCGUGGUAUUGAAGGCGGAGGAGAGUGCUGAUCAUGCAUAUGCUGAUAUGUGCUGUUAUUUUGCCUGUGUUCCCUCAUUUGUUUCCAUAUAGUUGUUAAUUAGUUCCUCACCUGUUUCUGUUCUCCUUGAUUACGUUUCCCCAUGUAUUUGAGUCCCGUGUUUUGCUCCGUGCUGCCAUUAUUUUGUCUGGUAUCGUUUUGGUUUUAUGUGGUUUAUGUUCCUUUGUUGCUCCUUCUUGUGGAUUUAUUAAAGAUAACCCUUUUUGAAAUUCUACUCCUUUGUCGUGCGUGUUAUAGAGCUACAACCACACGUGACUACAAUGUCUCGCAUGUAUGUUAUUAUCAAUAAAAAAAAAUGACGUUCCAGCGACUUUGGGCGAACGUCCCCUAAACGUCCCGAACGUCCGCUGAAAGUCCCGAACGUCCGCUGAAAGUCCCGUGACCGUCCCCUUGAGCGUCCGGGGACGGCAAGAGGACCCUACACACCGACGUUUGGGGGACGUUCGCUGAGGUCAUUUAGGGGACGUUCUGGGGACCUUUUUUUGUUAGCUGGAGAAGAACAUUUUGAUUUGAUCUAGUAUGUAUCUUUCUUUUCUAUUUCACAUGUGUUCAUUAUUUAUCUACAUUAUUUGUUAUUAUGUGAACUGUAACAUUUAAGCAGAUAUCAGUGUAACAGUACACGCCACGUUGUAGUUAGCUUUAAAUGCUAACUUAACUGACGUGCUCGUGUACUGUAACACGCCUGUUUCUUUAUGCCCUUUGUACAUUUUUCUGAAUUCAACAAUGUAAUUUUGUUUCAAAAUCCCGCGAUCUCGCGAGAGUGCGAUGACGCAUUUCCGUUUCAGAAAGGCCAUGGCGGAGGAGGACUUGGGAAUGGCGGUUUGGUUUAUUUCGAAAAGUGACCGAGUAUUACAAAACUACUGUUGGGUACGUACAUUUUGUAUUGUUUUAUUAAUGUGAUUGAGUUUUACUUGUUGGACACAAAGGAACUGAAACAAAAUGAUGCGCACAUUGUCAACUGCCAUGUAGUUUGAGUUUGGCUAAAAUUAGCUAGCAGGCUAAAAGGUUGUUUCUACACUUGAGUUGUGCUGUGUUAUGCUUCUUGCUGGGAAAUUGAUAGCAAAAUCAUCAAGUCCUGAAACUGUUAACGUUGGCUGAGUUUGAAAACUGUGCAAAAUAGGAGGAAGAAACCUCAAGGACAGUGCAAGAAUGAUGCUGGAUAGGUAAAGCGUAGUUCUUCAUACUUAUUUUUUUCAUGAGGUCCCAAUGAAAAGUAAAAAUAAAAAAAUAAUGUUUAAAAUGUCUUCGUCAACAAUUGUUAACCACUUAAUUUUUUAACAUUUUUAGGUUUUUAAAGAAUUGUCUUAUGUCCAAAUUUAAUAUGAAGGGGGGUGGUCCACUGCAGGAGGAGGCAUUUGAGAAGACUGCAGUAUUCACAGUCAUAAGAGAUGCUGUGAUGACCAAUUUUCCAAAGGGAACAGAGUUUGACAUCGUAAAUGCAAUUGGAGAGCAUUUCAAGGAAGCACCAGGGAGAGCAGGGGGGGGGUAUAUAAGUAAACCCAAGAAAUAAGUACCUAGUAACAGAAAACAAAUGAAAAAAUAUUUGAAAUAACUUCUUAUAUUUAUUUUAAUAUUGUUUAUUGCAUUUUAAGUUGUAUUUAUAAAUGCUUUUUGUAAUUUUCUGUAUUGUAUUUUCUUUAUUAUUCUUUUAUAAUUUUAUAAUUUGUCUAACUUGUGAAAUUUCUCUUUUACAUAAUAAAAACUUUAC